GGACUACUCGGGUUUCUAAUCCUGUUUGCUCCCCACGCUUUCGUGCAUGAGCGUCAGUACAGGCCCAGGGGGCUGCCUUCGCCAUCGAUGUUCCUCCUGAUCUCUACGCAUUUCACUGCUACACCAGGAAUUCCACCCCCCUCUGCCGUACUCCAGUCUUGCAGUCACAAGCGCAGUUCCCAGGUUAAGCCCGGGGAUUUCACACCUGUCUUACAAAACCGCCUGCGCACGCUUUACGCCCAGUAAUUCCGAUUAACGCUCGCACCCUACGUAUUACCGCGGCUGCUGGCAC
rnacentral:rRNA from 2 species